AACGCACCUUGCACUCCUUGGUAUUCCGAGGAGCAUGCCUGUUUGAGUGUCAUUAAAUAUAUCAAUCUCUUCAAGUUUUGCUUGUUUGAGUGUUGGAUGUGGGGGCUGCUGGUCUUCUCUCCUGAGGGUCAGCUCCCCUGAAAUGCAUUAGCAGAACAUUUUGUUGACUGUUCAUUGGUGUGAUAAACUAUCUACACUAUUGACAUGAAGCAAGUUCAGCUUCCAACAGUCCCAUUGACUUGGACAAUUUUUCAUUAAUGUGACCUCAAAUCAGGUAGGACUACCCGCUGAACUUAA
rnacentral:misc_RNA from 1 species